rnacentral:rRNA from 1 species
UUCGGUACAUCGGUGACAGGUGGUGCAUGGUUGUCGUCAGCUCGUGUCGUGAGAUGUUGGGUUUAAGUCCCGCAACGAGCGCAACCCCUAUUGUUAGUUGCCAUCAUUCAGUUGGGCACUCUAGCGAGACUGCCGGUAAUAAACCGGAGGAAGGUGGGAUGACGUCAAAUCAUCAUGCCCCUUAUGACCUGGGCUACACACGUGCUACAAUGGUUGGUACAACGAGUUGCGAGUCGGUGACGGCGAGCUAAUCUCUUAAAGCCAAUCUCAGUUCGGAUUGUAGGCUGCAACUCGCCUACAUGAAGUCGGAAUCGCUAGUAAUCGCGGAUCAGCACGCCGCGGUGAAUACCGUUCCCGGGCCUU